UGCUCCUUGUUCUUUAGUUAGAUCUCAGGGUCUGUUUUGACUGGUUAUGUUUCAAAUAAUCUUCAGCUUGGGAGACUCACUCUCUCUUGCACAUCUGAGAUAUUUUCUUCUGGAUACACCUGCAUCAGAUGAGAUGUAGAGUAUGAGUAUUUUGAAGAGGGUUGCACAUGGUAGUGAGAGUAAAUGAGGAAGAUGGAGCAGGAUAUUCUGGAAGCUGGAUCCUGAACUCCACUGCAGCCUAAGCUGCCUCCAGUCUUCAUAUCUUGACCAGCAAUUAAGUUUGAGGUCCAAAGGGGUGUCUCUCCUCAAUGGCUCCUCCAUCACCUGUGUUAUGAAAUUAUCUGGAGUUGCUCUCUAGCAUGAGGACAAAUUCUUUAAUAUGAGGUGUUAAGAAGUGAAGUAUUUACUUGGGUAACUUAAACUGACAACAGAUGAUGUGUAUUGGAUACCAGGAAUAAUCAAUUUUUUAAAAAGUCUCUUUUCUGUAUGUUUGCACAUGUUUGUUUUCAAAUAUUGAAACCCUUGCCAGGAGACACUACAACUGCAUGCUUACUUUGAGUCAUGACUUCCCUUCUGAAAACUUUUUAAGAGCUUGAAUGUCAGAAGUUUGUCAGGCCUGCUGGAAGCAAAUUAAUGUUCAAUAAGUGAGGAAUGCUUUUGGAAAUACCAUUGUAAAUUUUCUAAGAAAAAUCUCUACUCCUGAACRUUGCAGUGAGCAUGAGAAAUCCUGAGGCUAUAUCUCAUUCUUGCAACUUGUUUUUUUGCUGAUUGCUUUGUUUGUUUUAUGGGUUAGAAUUAAUUAAUUCGACCUUCUUGAGCACUUUCUUUCUUUCUUUCCACACCAUAUCAGAUUUUAUUUAUUUAUUUUUUUUUAUCUCCAGAGAAAGUACCUAGGGGUGAUUUUUUGCUUCCUGUUCAUGGCAGAAAUAGAGAGGGCUAUGCCCAGAGAAUCCACUAUGAAGGCAAGGUGGACUUGUGCUCCCAACUCUCCCUAGCUCUCUUUCCCCAUAUAAGAUAAUGAUAGAGAUACUUAACUCUUUAUAGUGUCAAUAUCUUGCACUUCUGAUCUGCAACCAAAGGAUUUAGCUCCACUAACUGAAUUGCAUGCUGCCCCACAAACGAUGUUCCCAGGCUCCAGCUGGAAAGCUGGGUUAGUAUGGAGUCAAUAUUUGUUGUCACUUCCCUUCAGUUGUUUGCACUGCUGGUAUGUGGAUAUACUGAUGCAGGAGAAGUUAUCAAGAUAGAUGACUCUGAGGGUCUGGAAAGGGAAUAUGUCC